CAGAGUUCUACAGCCCAGCUGACUGCUCUCUGUGAUGUCCUCACGUUAUGCCAACUGUUACAAAGUAGUGAGGCACAGUGCCAGCUGUCUCUGCCACUAACAGCCUCCUGGUAGAUCUACAGCCACCUGACGGCUGUUCCUGGACCUGUGGCUGGGGGACAGCUGGGAAAGAGGAGUGGGGAGACAGAGAGCUAGAGUUGACACAUUCACUCUUGAACGGAGGGACGGCACGCAUACCUACUGUACCCUCUCAUGCUGAAGCCUUUUUGUUCUACAAGUCGUUACCACUAUCUGGACUGGAGCUUUAACACUACUGCUGUUUUCACCUUUCGGGGAACUGAGAACGACAGACAGACACCUUUUUGCUCACCUCUCCUUCAUUACAGGAGUAAAAGAGUGAGGCAGAUUUGCGUUAGGCAGGGGGGUGUAAUUUAUAGGUCUAGGAGGAGUGGUGUGUGUGUUUAGGUCGAAGGUAGAAUUACCUCAUUCUAGGGAAGCUCUGAGUGAUUGAGAUCAGACAGAGGGCUUCCAGCCGCUAACCCUAACUCUUAUCUGAGCUUCUUCUCUGUUCUGGGUCAGCCUCCUGUCCCCUCCUGCUCUGAACAGGCUCAGAGAGAGAGAAUCCUGUGAGAGAAAGAGAAUCUCUGCCAGAGAAUCACUGCGAGAGAGAGAAUCCCUGCGAGAGAAUCCCUGCGGAGAGAAUCCCUGCGAGAGAAUCCCUGCGAGAGAAUCCCUGCGAGAGAAUCCCUGCGAGAGAAUCGCUGAGAGAGAAUCCCUGCGAGAGAGAGAAUCGCUGCGAGAGAAUCCCUGAGAGAGAAUCCCUGAGAGAGAGAGAAUCCAUGCAAGAGAGAGAGAAUCCCUGCAAGAGAGCAGAGAAUCCCUGCGAGAGAGAGAGAGAGAGAAGAGUAAGACGCGCUCACGCUCCCAGAGAGGUGGAGACUUUAUUCCCGUGCUCUUCCUCUCUUUCCUCUCUGUUUUCCUCCUCCUUAUCUCUCUCUGUGUGUCAGGGUGUGGCAGCAGCAUUAUGCCUGCAGUGUUCCUGUUCCUGCUCAGAACCCUCCUUUCCAGUAGAAUGAUAGGAUCCCUGCUCCAGUUCCUCAGGAGAACUUUGUCCUCAACCUUCAGCCACGUGGGAGCCGCGCUGAGAUACGUCUGGGACAGGAUCAGCUCUCAGGAGUCUAAAGAAGCCAUCCUGGGCUGUGUGCUGUGUCUCCUUAACAUGCACAAGAAGGUGGAUCAGCCAGCAGCUGAGUCUCACUGAGUCACUCUCUUGGCUUUUCUUCCUCUUCAGAAAGAACAAGAGAAAGGACGAGAGAGAGAACAAGAGAGAGGGAGAGAGAACAAGAGAGAGGGAGAGAGAACGAGAGAGAGGAAGAGAGAACGAGAACAAGAGAACAAGAGACAGAGAACAAGAGAGAGAGAACAAGAGAGACUUGGGAAGAGAGGAAGCUCUCUCUAUUGAGCUCUCUCCACUUUCCUUUCUGUUCAUUCAACCUCCACUUGUUUACUGCCGGAGGGAGAGAGAGAACAAGAGAGGAAGAGAGGGUUUCAGACUUUUCAUUUCGAGCUCAUUUGGACUGUAGUAUUUUUCUGACUGGAGUGCUCAGAGCAAAGCGCCCAGAUUCAGGUGAAUGAGACUGUAUCGGACCGCUGGGCUGGUGCUGACUACCUCAGAAAGCAUCGUCAGGGAGGUCCAACCUUUCACCAUCGGGACCAGGCUGUCUGUCUCUGGAUCUGCUACCAGGUCCAGACUUCCCCCAGAUGCUCUCCUGCCAGAGUGGGACUCUGGAUAAUAUCACCCUGCAGACCAACCUCCAUGACCAAGUCUCCCUCUACCUCAGCCAGGUGCAGAUCCAUCAGGAAGAUUUCCAUCUCUGGAAGCCCUGAGGAGGAGGACAGCUCCUGGAGGAGACAGGAGGACUCAGAGCACAAGGUGGUCGUUGAGGAGGAGGACGGCUCCUGGAGGAGACAGGAGGACUCAGAGCACAAGGUGGUCGUUGAGAAGGAGUACAGCUCCUGGAGGAGACAGGAGGACUCAGAGCACAAGGUGGUCGUUGAGGAGGAGGACGGCUCCUGGAGGAGACAGGAGGAGUUAGACCACAGGGUGGUCAGUAUGGGACCAGGACCGGGAAGACCCCCCCUGUCACAGUGACCAGAAACAUAUAAAAACAUCAACUACAACAACAUCAGCAGCUCCAAGCCACAGCUUCCCAGGAUAGUGGGAGUUAGAAUAUUAAAGCUUCCCAGGAUAGUGGGAGUUAGAAUAUUAAAGCUUCCCAGGAUAGUGGGAGUUAGAAUAUUAAAGCUUCCCAGGAUAGUGGGAGUUAGAAUAUUAAAGCUUCCCAGGAUAGUGGGAGUUAGAAUAUUAAAGCUUCCCAGGAUAGUGGGAGUUAGAAUAUUAAAGCUUCCCAGGAUAGUGGGAGUUAGAAUAUUAAAGCUUCCCAGGAUAGUGGGAGUUAGAAUAUUAAAGCUUCCCAGGAUAGU
rnacentral:lncRNA from 1 species